CGCUGGCGGCGUGCCUAACACAUGCAAGUCGUGCGAGAAAGUUCCUCGGGAGCGAGUAAAGCGGCGCACGGGUGAGUAACACGUAGGUAACCUGCCCCCCAGUCUGGAACAACUAGAGGAAACUCUAGCUAAUGCCGGAUGAGACCACGAUCCCUUCGGGGGUUGCGGCCAAAGAUGGCCUCUACUUGUAAACUAUCGCUGAGGGAUGGGCCUGCGGGCCAUUAGCUUGUUGGUGAGGUAACGGCUCACCAAGGCUGUGAUGGCUAGCUGGUCUGAGAGGAUGACCAGCCACACUGGGACUGAGACACGGCCCAGACUCCUACGGGAGGCAGCAGUGGGGAAUAUUGCGCAAUGGGCGAAAGCCUGACGCAGCGACGCCGCGUGGGUGAUGAAGGCCUUCGGGUCGUAAAGCCCUGUCGCAGGGGAAGAAUAAGCAUCGGUAUAAUACGCCGGUGCCCUGACGGUACCCUGCAAGAAAGCACCGGCUAACUCCGUG
rnacentral:rRNA from 1 species